GGAAGGGACACCUGGUUUUGGUGAUAAUUUCUACAAGGUGGCACAUAGCCAGCAUACCGAUUCUAGCCAGCGUCAGUGAUACCUGGCAAAGGUAAGGGCAACUGCAAUCACAGGGAAGUGUCAGGCAGCUUCAGGAGCUGGUGAUGCUACCAACUGCAGUUAGUACAAGUGGCUGCUGUGCUCCUCAUCUUGGAGAAGCACAGCUAUACACAACAGCUGAUGUAAAUAGGUGAAUUCUGUUAAAACCAGCACAGCUGCAAUUACAUACACCACCAGAGUGCUUGGAUGCCAACAGCCUUUAGUAGUCUUCUUUGCUUCAGCUAUUUUUUUCAGCUAUGAGAUAAAAAAUGAUUUACAUUUGGAAUUGCUGAGUAGGAUGCAAGGGAUUCUUUGUAAUCACAAUUUAUCACCAGAACUCAGUGUACUUAACAGAUACCUUGGACUCUUCUGCUGGGACUGUGACUCAGCCUGCUUCAGCUUUCCUGAAACUGAUUGAAGACAAUGUAAGUGCUGAUCAUCUCUUUUCUUUGUUGUGAUGAGAUGAAUUUACUUUGUAUUUUGGCAGAAACAUAAUCAUAAGCACCACUGGAAGCUUGGUGGGAAAUGGGUUAACUGUUUCUCUUACUGUUGUUGCUCUGUGUAGAUAUUUGGUAUAGAAACCAGGUUAAACAAAACAAAGGUUUAUUUCCCACCACCACCACCUCCUGAUUCCCAUUAAUUGUGAAAGAAAGAGGUUUGAUGACUGAGUUAAUGGAUGAGUCAGGGAAGGAGUAAGUAUUUCUUGGCCUUUGGAUGAAGCAAACUACUUUUUUGAACUUUGCCUUGGGCUUGUCUAAAGGAAGCUACUAUGUGUUUUAGUCAUUGUUUAAUUGAGGGGAGUUGGUUUACUUCUGUUAUAUUUUUCCCUUAAAAAGGCAAAAUAUUCCUUGGAUUUACUUGUUAUUACUUUACAGCAGCAGCCAUAGUGUGAGACUUUUUUCCCAGUUAGAAAGUAAGUUUAUGAAAGGGGUUAUGUGAUGUUAAGCCUGCAAUACCCAGGUUGGACUCAGAGAUCCCAAACUGGUUUUGAACGGUUUUGAAGUCCAGCCCUCACUCCUACAGCUUUGGGAAAGAGGAGCUCAAAAGCCAGGGAUGGACAGUUGGGUGUGGUAGUGCAACAUAAGAGACAGAAUAAAAUACUUUAUGAAUACA
rnacentral:lncRNA from 1 species